UUUUAUUUUUUAAGUUACCAUGUUAAUACACUUAAACGUUAUCAAUUAAUAGACCAUGACUUUUAACAUGUUUUUUUUCCUUUUUCCGGCAGUUAAUUCAAAAUACAAUAAAUUUAAGGCCGAAUAUAUAGACAGACACUUAUAGUUUAUCAGGCACUCGAACAUCCUCCCAAAUGUGCCAAUUAAACACAGACCUCAUAUCCGAUCUUAAAAUUUAGGAGCGUGUAUGUAAACACGGCUGAUGUGUAAUAUAUAGCUAAUAAAAAUCAUCCACAUGUCUAAGUAGUCCACAUAAGCCGUGUUUGCCUUAAAACAAAUUUACCGACUUCAUUUUUACCCUAAAUCAAACCCGAUUCUCCCCACUGUAAAACCCUAAAAAUUGUAGGUCGAUUAUUGUUUGAUUUCAAUUUUCUUCCAUGCUUACAAGUGUGUUUCGUUGUUUAACCGACUAUUAAGCGAGGUAUUUGUUGAGGUGUUGGUUGCAUGUAUACAAUCCAGAAGUCCAGGUUAAGAAGCUAUUAAUUUUCCAGAUUAAUCAAGACUUUUAAGUACAAGGAAUAUAUUCAGGCCCGAUUUCACCAUGGUGGUACUUUUACCAUGAAGCCAAACCAAAAUACAUAGAUGAGAAAGACGUGGGAAUCUACGGUAUUAAAGAUCACUUAGUUGGACCUAGACAUAAGUCAAUUAUAACAAUAUUGGAGAAAAUCAGAUACAAAAUAAUGAAUAGGGAUAAUGACAUGAGGAAUUUUGCUAAGACUUGGAUAAGUGACAUUUCACCAAUAGCAAGGAUGAUUUAGAGGAGAACAAGGAACUGUAUAGGAGAUGUAAAGUAAGAUUUAAUGGAUAUGAUGGUUUUGAGAUUGAAGAAGGUGAUAAGAGGUUUAUUGUUAAUAUGGUGACAAAGACUUGCACUUGUAGAUCCUGGAUGUUGAGGGGAAUACCAUGUCAACAUGUUGUUUGUUCAUACUAUCACUUAGAGCAAGAGCCAAAACAACAUGUUGAAAUUUUGGUAUAGAAAAGAAACACUCCUAAAGGCUUACAAAUAUUUUCUUCAACCCAUGCCCAAUAUGAAGAUGUGGCCAGAAUCUAAAAAUCCAGUUAUUGAGCCUUCAGAGCCAAAACUAAUGCCAAGUAGACCAAAAGAUGUAGGAGAAAAGCAAAGUAUGGCAAACUGUUCAAGAAAGGGGUGAAGAUGACAUGUUCAAGAUGUCAUCAAGUAGGACACAACAAGAGAGCCUACAAAACAGAGCCUGCUAUGAGACAGUCAAGUCAGUCAACUCAGCUAAGAGAACCAACUCAACAAAGACAGCAUGCUCCAUCCUCAAUUUGUGAUGAUACAACUGUUGUCACCAGAUGUAAUCUGGACACAAUCAACUGGUGUAGGCAGGGGUAAGGGAACAGGGAGAGGUACUGGCUUAAGAAAUGGAGCAUUCCAAACAGCUGCUUCUAGAGGAAGAGGAUUUGAAACCAGUCAAGAAGGCACAUCCUCUAACAUUGAACAAAAUAGACCAAGACCUGCAGGGUGGAGCAACAGUUCUGAAUGUAAACAACAGUUAUCUUAAGCAAAUGUUAUUUUAUAUUUCAUAUUAAUUGUGACUAUGUGGCAAUUUUAACCUGGUAAUCCAUCUGAAAGAGUGAUAUCAUAGGGGAGACCUCUGAAUAACACAGCUGAAACCAAUAUAGAUAUUGGAUUUAAGCCGCCUGGUCUAAAAUGGAAAGGCAAACAAGCAGUGACAACUAACCAACUCCAGCGGAUGAGUGCAUCAAAGAAUACAAAGACUUCUAAUCAAGAAGGCACAUCCUCAUCUUUUCUGUCAGGCUAAAGGAAUGGAACCAAGUGACUUCAUUGUUUAAUAUGGUUUAGGUGCUUAUUUAAUUAAGUAAUUGGACAUGUAAUGACUUCUUGAACAACAACUUUAUUUUUAUAUUGUAUUGAUG